CCUAUCCCUAACCUCUUCCACUCCCUCACUCCUCUCAUCCUGCUCCAUUCCAUCCCCACGUUUCUCAACCUCUCAUUUCUUCCCAUCCCCGUCGCUGCGCCCCGCCAGUGGCGCUUGAAGAGCAUCCUACCUCCUUCCGCUGCCGGCGUCGGGACGGCCCCCCCAUGGUUCCCUCCGCCCGCACCAUAACCGGCCGCCCAUGGUUCCCCUCUGCCCGCGCCAGAUCCGUCCCCUCAUGGUUCCCCUCCGUUGGCGCCAGGAUCGGCCCCAUAUGGUUCCCAUCCGCCGUGCUAGCACCAGCUCCCCCAUGGUUCCCCUCCGCUGGCGCUAGCAGCAGCCCCCCAAUGGUUCCCCUCUGACACCGUCAUCCUCCUCCUGACUCCCUAGGAACAAGUGACGCCGGCGAGGACGCUCCGCUCUUGCGGGUUGGCUGUGUCACAAGCCUCCUCGAGCGGCCCAAAGUGCAGCAUGCCAUGUCAAAGCCCCUCUCCACCUUGCUCAGGAUUGACUAUACAAAUUGGAAGCCACAGAUCAACAAAAACAGUCGAUUAUAAAAUACCUUAGUUAAAGUGGUCAAAUGUGAUUGUCUAUUUGCAGCACGCCGAUGGUCUAUUAACCAGAUUGGAUAUGUAAUACCAAUGAGAAAAUGAGGUUGUAUUAGGUGUAAGAAUUGUAUUGAUUUGUACGAAACCUGAAUUUUCGUUUUGCAUCGUCUGGGUGCGGUCA